rnacentral:rRNA from 1 species
ACAAUGGAGAGUUUGAUCCUGGCUCAGGACGAACGCUGGCGGCGUGCUUAACACAUGCAAGUCAAGGAGAAAGGUUCCUUCGGGAAACGAGUAAACUGGCGAACGGGUGAGUAACACGUAGGUAACCUGCCCUAGAGACUGGGAUACCCUCGGGAAACCGGGAUUAAAACCGGAUAAUGCAGCGGGUCCUUCGGGACAUUGUUGUUAAA